AGAAUAGUUAGACUUCUGGGAAUACGUGUAACCGUUUCUCAUCAGUAAAUAUUUACCCCUUUGCGUGGGUAUAAAUUGAUACCCAUGGUCUGAAACUUAUACGAAUGUAAUUUAAUAAAUGGAAAAUUAUUUUUAAUGGCCCCAUAAGUUGCCUCCAUGAAAUACAUACUUUUCAUUUACACUUAUUUUGUCCAGGAGCAAUAACGCACGUGGGGUUCCACUCGAAUGUGUAAGACAGUAUAAAUUUUGAAAAAUAUUUAUUAUUUUAUAACUUGUAAAACUGUCCAGAAGAGGUCUGCACAUACGUCGGUGGCGGGUGUUUGUGGGUGUAAUCAGAGUUGACUAUCCUUCCAUAUUCAUCUAGUUUCACCCUCGCCCUGCAAUUGGCCGAUUGUUUCUUAGAGCAAUAAUAGUUGUUUGACAAUUUCAUCUGGGAAUACGUGUAACCGUUUAUCAUCAGCAAAUGUUUACCCCUUUGCGUGGGUAUAAAUUGAUAGCCAUUCUCUGAAAAUUGAUCAAAAA